rnacentral:rRNA from 1 species
UACAGAGGUCUCAAGCGUUGUUCGGAUUCAUUGGGCGUAAAGGGCGCGUAGGCGGGUGCUCAAGUCCGUGGUGAAAUCCUCCGGCUCAACCGGAGAACUGCCUCGGAUACUGGGCGUCUCGAGUGUGGUAGGGGUAUGCGGAACUAUCGGUGGAGCGGUGAAAUGCGUUGAUAUCGAUAGGAACUCCGGUGGCGAAGGCGGCAUACUGGACCACCACUGACGCUGAUGCGCGAAAGCCAGGGGAGCAAACGGG